GAUCAUGGCUCAGGAUGAACGCUAGCUACAGGCUUAACACAUGCAAGUCGAGGGGCAGCGGGAUUGAAGCUUGCUUCAAUUGCCGGCGACCGGCGCACGGGUGAGUAACGCGUAUCCAACCUUCCGUACACUCAGGGAUAGCCUUUCGAAAGAAAGAUUAAUACCUGAUGGUAUGAUGAGAUUGCAUGAUAGCAUCAUUAAAGAUUUAUCGGGUGUAUGAUGGGGA
rnacentral:rRNA from 1 species